rnacentral:lncRNA from 1 species
ACAUAAUCCCCUUUGCCAAAAAACCUUAAAACAGAAUAGUUUCCUUUCACUUUGCAGGAUUUCAAUGCAAUUCUAUCAAGUCGGGAAGGCAAAUAACUACUUAAUCCCCCAGCAAAAAGAGCUCCAUCACCUGCAAAAUCUCAACUUUUCUUUUUCAUCUAGGAAUAUGAGUGCUAUAAAAGAGGUUACUGCUGCCAUGAAAAUAGGGAUCAACUGGGCCUAA